UUGAAGAUUGGGUUCCUCAAGACACAGAUUCUGGGACAGAGAUUUGUAUGCAAGAAGUUUGACGGGGAGUGCUUUCUGAAAUUGUAUCUAUAAGGGAGUGAAGGAAGCCAAACUGGACAGAGAGAGAAGUUGAACUGAGAGGAAGUGGCAACAAACCUUUAGCUGAUUCCACGAGCUCUGGACCUGGAAUGGUUGCAGAGUUGUCUUAAGUUGAGCAAAGAGGUCCAGGCAUUUGCACACCUGCAUCAACCAGUCCUUGGAUAUUACAGACUCUAAGAAUAUAAUUUUGGAUGAGGCAGUCCCCUUCAGCUGACUUCAAUUCCUAGGGAGGGACUCACCCAGGAGUCUCUGCGAACAGCAUUCUCAGUAGCCGUGAGAAUUGGUGCCUUGGCCCUGAAGCGGGCAUAUGGAUGGUGUAACACAGAGUCCGCUACACUGACUUCCUAACACCACAGAUGUCUGCUUCAGAAGCCUGAUAACCUCUCUAUCACCAAACACCCACUGACCGAGACCAAGUGAGCCAUGCUGGUCAGUUCCAGUACCUUGGACACCCUGGAGAGUUGAAGACUCCAACCUUUAGGUAUAGAGCAGAUGUAAUUUGAUGUUCUUUUAAAGAACCACUGUGUAUCAGGCAUGGUGCAAUGUCCUGGAAACAGAGCUGGGAUACAAGAUACUCAUGGUUUCAGCCUCCGUGGAGGAUACUGGGAAGACUAUUUAACCAAGAAUUCCGACACAGUGAGAUGAGAACUAUGACCCAGAUGCUUCUUAAAUCUGGUGUUUGCCUUUCAUCUACAACACCCUUGCCUUCCUUCAAGCCUUCAUCUGCUCCUGCCUACCUGACUGCAACUGCUUCCUAACCUGGCUCCUUUCCCAGCUUCUCAUGCCUCCAGCCUUACCAGUCUCAGUUCCUUCUCCCACAUUUGCCUCCAGAAAGAUCAUUCAAAAACAAAAUAUCUCAGGGGCACCUGGGUAGCUCAGUCUGUUAAGCAUCCAACUUCAGCUC